UACGUAGGGGGCAAGCGUUGUCCGGAAUCAUUGGGCGUAAAGAGCGCGUAGGCGGCCCUGUAAGUCCGCUGUGAAAGUCAAGGGCUCAACCCUUGGAUGCCGGUGGAUACUGCAGGGCUAGAGUCCGGAAGAGGCGAGUGGAAUUCCUGGUGUAGCGGUGAAAUGCGCAGAUAUCAGGAGGAAUACCUAUGGCGAAAGCAGGUAUCUGGGCCACAACUGACGCUGAGCUGCGAAAGCUAGGGGAGCAAACAGG
rnacentral:rRNA from 1 species